CAGCCGCCGCGGGAACACGUAGGGUGCAAGCGUUAAUCGGAAUUACUGGGCGUAAAGCGUGCGCAGGCGGUUAUAUAAGACAGAUGUGAAAUCCCCGGGCUCAACCUGGGAACUGCAUUUGUGACUGUAUAGCUAGAGUACGGCAGAGGGGGAUGGAAUUCCGCGUGUAGCAGUGAAAUGCGUAGAUAUGCGGAGGAACACCGAUGGCGAAGGCAAUCCCCUGGGCCUAUACUGACGCUCAUGCACGAAAGCGUGGGGAGCAAACCGGAUUAGAUACCCGAGUAGUCCCUGUCUCUUAUAA
rnacentral:rRNA from 1 species